rfam:Hordeum vulgare subsp. vulgare, WGS project CAJW01000000 data, contig: morex_contig_39846
ACUAUACUCCCUCCGCCCGGAAAUACUUGUUAUAAGAAUGGAUGUAUCUAGAUGUAUUUUAGUUCUAGAUACAUCGUUUUCUAUCCAUUUGUGCAACAAGUACUUCCGGACGGAGGGAGUAUAAG